UACAGAGGUCUCAAGCGUUGUUCGGAUUCAUUGGGCGUAAAGGGUGCGUAGGCGGCGCGGUAAGUCGGGUGUGAAAUCUCGGGGCUUAACUCCGAAACUGCAUUCGAUACUGCCGUGCUUGAGGACUGGAGAGGAGACUGGAAUUUACGGUGUAGCGGUGAAAUGCGUAGAUAUCGGGAGGAACACCAGUAGCGAAGGCGGACUCCCUGGGCCAUUCCUGACGCUGAGACGGCGAAAAGCGUGGGGAGCAAACAGGG
rnacentral:rRNA from 1 species